ACCCUGGUGGUGGAAUUGGUAGACACGCGGGACUUAAAAUCCCGUUUGCAGCAAUGCAAGUGUGGGUUCGACUCCCAUCUGGGGUA
rnacentral:tRNA from 2 species